ACAUAUCAAUAAGCGGAGGAAAAGAAACCAACAGGGAUUGCCCUAGUAACGGCGAGUGAAGCGGCAACAGCUCAAAUUUGAAAUCUGGCGCAAGCCCGAGUUGUAAUUUGUAGAGGAUGUUUCUGGCGACGUGCCUUCCGAGUUCCCUGGAACGGGACGCCAUAGAGGGUGAGAGCCCCGUACGGUUGGAUGCCUAGCCUCUGUGAAACUCCUUCGACGAGUCGAGUAGUUUGGGAAUGCUGCUCUAAAUGGGAGGUAUACGUCUUCUAAAGCUAAAUACCGGCCAGAGACCGAUAGCGCACAAGUAGAGUGAUCGAAAGAUGAAAAGCACUUUGAAAAGAGGGUUAAAAAGUACGUGAAAUUGUUGAAAGGGAAGCGUUCAUGACCAGACUUGGGCGGGUUGAUCAUCCGUGGUUCUCCGCGGUGCACUCUGCCCGCCCAGGCCAGCAUCAGUUCGCCCCGGGGGAAAAAGGCUUCGGGAAUGUGGCUCCUCCGGGAGUGUUAUAGCCCGCUGCGUAAUACCCUGGGGCGGACUGAGGUUCGCGCUCUGCAAGGAUGCUGGCGUAAUGGUCAUCAGCGACCCGUCUUGAAACACGGACCAAGGAGUCGUCUUCGUAUGCGAGUGUUCGGGUGUCAAACCCCUACGCGUAAUGAAAGUGAACGUAGGAGAGAGCUUCGGCGCAUCUCCGACCGAUCCUGAUGUUCUCGGAUGGAUUUGAGUAAGAGCAUACGGGGCCGGACCCGAAAGAAGGUGAACUAUGCCUGUAUAGGGUGAAGCCAGAGGAAACUCUGGUGGAGGCUCGCAGCGGUUCUGACGUGCAAAUCGAUCGUCAAAUAUGGGCAUGGGGGCGAAAGACUAAUCGAACCUUCUAGUAGCUGGUUCGCGG
rnacentral:rRNA from 1 species